AAUGAACGCUGGCGGCGUGCUUAACACAUGCAAGUCGAACGAGAAACCCCGGCUUGCCGGGGGAGUAAAGUGGCGCACGGGUGAGUAACGCGUGGGUAAUCUACCCUCGAAUUGGGGAUAACACAUCGAAAGGUGUGCUAAUACCGAAUAAGACCACGGUGGCUUCGGCCACUGAGGUCAAAGAUGGCCUCUGCUUUCAAGCUGUCGGUUGAGGAUGAGCCCGCGUCCCAUGAGCUAGUUGGUGGGGUAAGAGCCCACCAAGGCAACGAUGGGUAGCUGGUCUGAGAGGAUGGCCAGCCACACUGGAACUGGAACACGGUCCAGACUCCUACGGGAGGCAGCAGUGAGGAAUUUUGCGCAAUGGGGGCAACCCUGACGCAGCAACGCCGCGUGAGUGAAGAAGGCCUUCGGGUUGUAAAGCUCUGUCAAGCGGGAAGAAACUUUUUCGAACGAAUAAUUCGAAAAAUUGGCGGUACCGCUGAAGGAAGCACCGGCUAACUCCGUGCCAGCAGCCGCCGCCGUAA
rnacentral:rRNA from 1 species